rnacentral:rRNA from 1 species
UACAGAGGCCUCGAGCGUUAGGCGGAAUCACUGGGCUUAAAGCGCGUGUAGGCGGAUCGUUAAGUGUCUUGUGAAAUCCCACGGCUCAACCGUGGAACUGCUGGGCAUACUGGCGAUCUUGGGCCACUCAGGGGCAACCGGAACAAGCGGUGGAGCGGUGAAAUGCGUAGAUAUCGCUUGGAACGCCGAAGGUGAAGACAGGUUGCUGGGGGUGUGCCGACGCUGAGACGCGAAAGCCAGGGGAGCAAACGGG